AGAGUUUGAUCCUGGCUCAGGAUGAACGCUAGCGGCAGGCUUAACACAUGCAAGUCGAGGGGCAGCGCGGGGCGGCAACGUCCUGGCGGCGACCGGCGGAAGGGUGCGUAACGCGUGAGCGACAUGCCCGUUGCCCGGGGACAACCGGUGGAAACGCCGACUAAUCCCCGAUGGGACGGAGGCCCUCAUGGGUCUCUGUUGAAAGUUACGGCGGCGACGGAUUGGCUCGCGUCCGAUUAGCUUGUUGGCGGGGUAACGGCCCACCAAGGCUACGAUCGGUAGGGGUUCUGAGAGGAAGGUCCCCCACAAUGGAACUGAGACACGGUCCAUACUCCUACGGGAGGCAGCAGUGAGGAAUAUUGGUCAAUGGGCGGAAGCCUGAACCAGCCAUGCCGCGUGCGGGAAGGAGGCCCUAUGGGCUGUGAACCGCUUUUGCCUGGGGGCAAUAAGGGCGUCGCGCACGUCCGAUGAGAGUACCAGGGGAAUAAGCAUCGGCUAACUCCGUGCCAGCAGCCGCGGUAAUACGGGGGAUGCGAGCGUUAUCCGGAUUCAUUGGGUUUAAAGGGUGCGUAGGCUGUGCGUCAAGUCAGGGGUGAAAUUCCGGGGCUCAACUCCGGGGCUGCCCUUGAUACUGUCGCGCUGGAGUGCGGAUGCCGCCGGAGGAAUGAGUGGUGUAGCGGUGAAAUGCUUAGAUAUCACUCAGAACACCGAUUGCGAAGGCAGCCUGCUGUAGCGCAACUGACGCUGAAGCUCGAAUAGCGUGGGUAUCGAACAGGAUUAGAUACCCUGGUAGUCCACGCGGUAA
rnacentral:rRNA from 1 species